rnacentral:tRNA from 3 species
GUCCCCAUAGUCUAACGGAUUAGGACACUGGGUUUUCAUCCCAGCGAUGGGGGUUCGACUCCCCCUGGGGGCA